CUGUGUGGAUGGUGUUCAGCACCAGGGACAGGUAUAUUUACCUGUGUGCGGAUGGUGUUCAGUACCAGGCACAGGUGUGUUUACCU
rnacentral:pre_miRNA from 1 species